UAAAGUUCCAUCAGUUAUAGAUUCGCCCAUAAACGGAACCACCGCAUCAAACAGGUCACCACUUUCUGAAGAUAGUGACCUACUCCAUACUUGGUAGGGAGAGUCCCUUGGGAAGAACUCAAUAAGUUCCCUUGUUGGCUUUGAACGAACUGGACCACUAGCACCGGGGAAGAUAGAAUGGCUGAAGUUCCGUACAUGUCUGUAACUUCUCAGCAAAACAAAUGUCGAGAUGGGGCGGCGAAUCAAGCG
rnacentral:misc_RNA from 1 species